UCUUCAGGAUUAUAUUUGCACCUAAAAAGAGAGAAAAAGGAACAUGUACUUCUCUCCAUGUCUCAGACUGCCUGCAGCCUGGGCCCAGCAGCAACAGACUGUCUGAGAAAAAUAACCACAUUUUUGAGAUUAUACUGUGGGGUGGUGUUUGUGUAAGUGGCAGGAGUUUUGAAGACAAUGUAACAAAGUUUGUGUCCCAUUUGUGAAGGUGUUUUUGUAUUUUUUAAAGUGUACACCCAGUAAAACCAAUGGGAAUUGUUAUUGAGAAACAGGAGGUGACUUUGUGGUGCUGCUUGCAUAGAUUUCCUCAACCAGGAAAUUCUGAAUUUGUUGUUUUGCUCCAAAUAUUUGGAAAACCACCCACUCCCAGCACAGCUGGCAGCAGCCAUGCCCCCAGGUUGGAGGAAAGUUUUUGGUGUGUUCCUCCUGCUCCAUCCCUGCCAGGACCUCUCUGGAGAGCUCUGAGCUCCUUGUGCUCCCCAGAGGUGUGAGCCAGCACCUCCAGGACCCUGCAUGAUCCAGCACUGAAAAAAAACAAAACAAAACAUUUUUUGAGGAAUUUUUAAACAUUCUCAGUGCUUAUUUAUUAUAUAGCUUUUGUAGCUGUCUCUCUUUAAGACUCAGGGCAAAUUGUUCACAGGUUUUAAAUUUAUAAAUCCAGCAACUUCUUUAUUUAACCAUAACAUUUUUAAAAGGUCACCUGUGUAUUUUGAAAAGCAAGAAUAAAGCUAAUUGCUGUGUAGUCCUCUAAAAAACCCUUUUUUUAUCUGAAGAUUUUGCCCAGCCCUGGCAGGACUGCAAUAAUUGAGACACCUGAGGGACAGGUUUUUAUUCCAAACACAGGCAUUAGUCAGGCUGCCACGCUCUGAAGUGGGGCUUUCCAAGGGUCUAGAGAAGAGGAAAACUUUCCUGGUGCACUUAUUCUGAUUUCCAGAAUAAAUGCUUGCAGAAAUCAGAGAUUUCCAAUGCUGCUGUCAGUCCCAGGAGCAGCACAAUUGUAGAAUCACAGGAUUGGGGAGGUUGGGAAAGAGCUCCAAGCCCAGCUGUGAGCCCAGCACCCCUGAGCCCUGGCCUCAGGUGCCACCUCCACAGGGUUCUGAACAUUUUCAGGAAUGGUGACUCCACCACUGCCAUGGGCAGCCUGCUCCAAUGCUUGGUAACCCUUUCUAGGUAUAAUUUUUUCAACUAUUUCAAGUAUUGUCAAAUCUAAACCUCCUCUGGCUCAACCUGAGGCAGUUUCCUCCAGCCUUUGGGAGAAGAGUGAGCAAGGCAGAAGUAAAUUAAUCAAAAUAAUCUCUUUGACAAGUUCAGCAAGCUGGCACCACUGUCAUCUCCCUUCUACACAAAGUGUCAGAAUGAAACCCAGUUUCUGGGCUGAACUGAGAGCUCUGAGUGUUGCAGUACAUUUAAGUGGCAGCUAUUACACCUAGCCUGUGCAAUGCCUUUAUAACAUAUUUUAUUUCUCCCUGCUAGCUUUUGUUUUAAACCAAGAGAAGGGCUUAUAUUAGAAACCAUUCCUGUACACUUCUAAAACAUCUGUAAAGGAGCAGGGAAAAGCAGAUUGCUUCAGCAAUGGGAGCAGGGAACAAGAAUUGCAGUGGUGAGGACUAGAGCUGCCAUUUGAGGUGCUCUCAGGUUCCCUCUGCCCCAGUUUGGGGCUGGGCUCCAGCUGGGCUCCCUGACACUGGAGCUCAUCAAGCAAAAGGAAACUGAUCCCUGCCUCUGCCUUGUCUGACACGUCCAGCCGACAGUUCCCUGCCAUAAUUAAAUGGCAGAGCAUUUGUUCCUGUGCCAAGGGGUGACAAAGGUGCCCCUUGGCAGUGCAGUUUAUCCUCAGGCAACGCUUGCUGUGGGUUUUGAAGGGAGCUGUGUGACUCCAGCUGCUCUAAGAUGUAAAAUUACAUCUGAUAUGUGGUUAUGGCCCUCUCUUACCUCUCAGCAGGCUGCUUAGAGAGCACUGAGCAAUUUCCUCUCCAACAAACAGCAAACUGGAGCUCAGGCACUUGGAGUACAGGCUGUAGGGGUGUGUCCCAGGUUUAGGAAUAUUUUAUCCAUCCGUGCUGCUCUGUCCUUAAAAACUCUCCAUCCUGAAAGACCAGCUCAGAAAUUCCAGAUUGUUCUAUUGCCUUCUCUAGUCCUCAGUGUGUAUAUAAAUAUAAAUAAAUACCAGAACCUUUUAUCAGCCAAGGGAUCCUCAGCACCUGCUCUGAUCUGUGUGAGGGGUUACAAACCUGAUUUCAGCAGCCUUGUGGCCACCCAGAGCAUCCACUCCUCUCACUGUGAGCUUGCUCAAUGAUGAAUUUUCUCACUGUUCUAAAACUCCCACUGGAUUUUGUUGUGUCUAUCCAUAUUAAGUAAUGGAAUUGUAAAAUGGAAAAAAAAAAGCAGGUAGAUCAGGAGUACAUUGUUUGCUCUGGUGAUGUGAUCCAAAUUUUUUUUUUAAAGUUUCUUUUUUCCCCCUUCUUCUUUAGACAUCCUUCUAAAAUAAAUGACAUAAUGGAGCAGAACUAAAAUACCUAGAUUUUCAUUUCAGCCUGAUGUGAGCACCUCAGAGGGACAGAACAAGGGGAAUGGGAUGAAUUUUGAAAUGCCAGCAGCCUGGCUAAUAGCCACAUCAUAAGCUACACACUGGCAAAAAAAUGCAUGUGCUGGGAGCCAUGUGCAUGUGUUGUGGUUGUUUUCAUGAGGAUGGAGCACAACGUGACUGUGGGGGUUUAUAAACAGCAGAGGGACUGGAAAUUGUUUGUGGGUUGGCGUAAGUAGGAGAAAAAUCAAACUGCAAAGCAUUUUGGUUCAGACUGUCCCACAGACCUCUGGGUACCUGAGAGAUCAUCACCAAGAUUUUCAUGAAACUGCAGGAGGAGUAUUCCAGGUAUCUCCAUCUCAAAAAUGAGAUGCUUCACAUGGGAACAAAAUGUUUUGGGCCGCACAGAACCGAUGACAAGAAAUCUGAAUUUCUCUUCCUCGAGGAGUUUCAAAGUGUUGAUGGAUUGUCCUGAUGCUCCACAUGAAACACUUCCAAAAUCCUACAGCUCUUCGGGGAAGAGGAAAAAUCUUCCCACUCAGUUCUUGCGGCAACGGAGGUACACUCUGAGAGUUUGAGUGACCAAUCAAUACAGAACAACAAUUUGUUACUGACCAAUAAAGUAAUUGGCAAGGAAGCUCCUGACCAACUGGAGUCCCACACCAGGUCUGUAACACUGCAUAAAAAGGAGUUUUGUGAAUAAAGAAUGGG